CCCGGCGACCGGCGCACGGGUGAGUAACACGUAUGGAACCUGCCCGCAGCAGGGGGAUAAGCGGAAGAAAUUCCGUCUAAUACCGCGUAACACCGCAGAGGGGCAUCCCUCGGCGGUUAAAGAUUCAUCGGCUGCGGAUGGCCAUGCGGCGCAUUAGCUAGUCGGCGGGGUAACGGCCCACCAAGGCGACGAUGCGUAGGGGUUCUGAGAGGAAGGUCCCCCACACUGGUACUGAGACACGGACCAGACUCCUACGGAAGGCAGCAG
rnacentral:rRNA from 1 species